GACGAACGCUGGCGGCGUGCUUAACACAUGCAAGUCGAACGGUAAGGCCCUUCGGGGUACACGAGUGGCGAACGGGUGAGUAACACGUGGGUGAUCUGCCCUGCACUUCGGGAUAAGCCUGGGAAACUGGGUCUAAUACCGGAUAGGACCACUGCCUGCAUGGGUGGUGGUGGAAAGCUUUUGCGGUGUGGGAUGGGCCCGCGGCCUAUCAGCUUGUUGGUGGGGUGAUGGCCUACCAAGGCGACGACGGGUAGCCGGCCUGAGAGGGUGACCGGUCACACUGGGACUGAGAGACGGACCAGAGUCCAACGGGAGGCAGGAGUGGGGAAUAGUGCAACAUGGGCGCAAGCCUGAUGCGGCGACGACGAGUGAGGGAUGAUGGCCUUCGGGUUGUAAACCUCUUUCAGUAGGGACGAAGCGCAAGUGACGGUAACUACAGAAGAAGGACCGGCCAACUACGUGCCAGCAGCCGCCGUAA
rnacentral:rRNA from 1 species